GAUGAACGCUAGCUACAGGCUUAACACAUGCAAGUCGAGGGGCAGCAUGGUCUUAGCUUGCUAAGGCCGAUGGCGACCGGCGCACGGGUGAGUAACACGUAUCCAACCUGCCGUCUACUCUUGGACAGCCUUCUGAAAGGAAGAUUAAUACAAGAUGGCAUCAUGAGUCCGCAUGUUCACAUGAUUAAAGGUAUUCCGGUAGACGAUGGGGAUGCGUUCCAUUAGAUAGUAGGCGGGGUAACGGCCCACCUAGUCUUCGAUGGAUAGGGGUUCUGAGAGGAAGGUCCCCCACAUUGGAACUGAGACACGGUCCAAACUCCUACGGGAGGCAGCAGUGAGGAAUAUUGGUCAAUGGGCGAGAGCCUGAACCAGCCAAGUAGCGUGAAGGAUGACUGCCUUAUGGGUUGUAAACUUCUUUUAUAAAGGAAUAAAGUCGGGUAUGGAUACCCGUUUGCAUGUACUUUAUGAAUAAGGAUCGGCUAACUCCGUGCCAGCAGCCGCGGUAAUACGGAGGAUUCGAGCGUUAUCCGGAUUUAUUGGGUUUAAAGGGAGCGUAGAUGGAUGUUUAAGUCAGUUGUGAAAGUUUGCGGCUCAACCGUAAAAUUGCAGUUGAUACUGGAUAUCUUGAGUGCAGUUGAGGCAGGCGGAAUUCGUGGUGUAGCGGUGAAAUGCUUAGAUAUCACGAAGAACUCCGAUUGCGAAGGCAGCCUGCUAAGCUGCAACUGACAUUGAGGCUCGAAAGUGUGGGUAUCAAACAGGAUUAGAUACCCUGGUAGUCCACACGGUAAACGAUGAAUACUCGCUGUUUGCGAUAUACGGCAAGCGGCCAAGCGAAAGCGUUAAGUAUUCCACCUGGGGAGUACGCCGGCAACGGUGAAACUCAAAGGAAUUGACGGGGGCCCGCACAAGCGGAGGAACAUGUGGUUUAAUUCGAUGAUACGCGAGGAACCUUACCCGGGCUUAAAUUGCAGAUGAAUUACGGUGAAAGCCGUAAGCCGCAAGGCAUCUGUGAAGGUGCUGCAUGGUUGUCGUCAGCUCGUGCCGUGAGGUGUCGGCUUAAGUGCCAUAACGAGCGCAACCCUUGUUGUCAGUUACUAACAGGUUCUGCUGAGGACUCUGACAAGACUGCCAUCGUAAGAUGUGAGGAAGGUGGGGAUGACGUCAAAUCAGCACGGCCCUUACGUCCGGGGCUACACACGUGUUACAAUGGGGGGUACAGAGGGCCGCUACCACGCGAGUGGAUGCCAAUCCCAAAAACCUCUCUCAGUUCGGACUGGAGUCUGCAACCCGACUCCACGAAGCUGGAUUCGCUAGUAAUCGCGCAUCAGCCACGGCGCGGUGAAUACGUUCCCGGGCCUUGUACACACCGCCCGUCAAGCCAUGGGAGCCGGGGGUACCAAAAGUGCGUAACCGCGAGGAG
rnacentral:rRNA from 1 species